rnacentral:rRNA from 1 species
UACGUAGGGUGCAAGCGUUAAUCGGAAUUACUGGGCGUAAAGCGUGCGCAGGCGGUGAUGUAAGACAGGUGUGAAAGCCCCGGGCUCAACCCGGGAGGGUCGUGGCGAACUGGGAGGCUUGAGGCCGGUAGAGGUGGGUGGAACUCCUGGUGGAGUGGUGAAAUGCGUAGAGAUCAGGAAGAACACCUGUGGUGUAGACAGCUUACUGGACCGCUUCUGACGCUGAGACACGAAAGCGUGGGUAGCAAACAGG